rnacentral:rRNA from 1 species
CCUACGGGAGGCAGCAGUGGGGAAUAUUGCACAAUGGGGGAAACCCUGAUGCAGCGACGCCGCGUGAGUGAAGAAGUAUUUCGGUAUGUAAAGCCCUAUCAGCAGGGAAGAAGGUGACGGUACCUGACUAAGAAGCCCCGGCUAACUACGUGCCAGCAGCCGCGGUAAUACGUAGGGGGCAAGCGUUAUCCGGAUUUACUGGGUGUAAAGGGAGCGUAGACGGCAGCGCAAGUCUGAAGUGAAAUGCCGGGGCUCAACCCCGGGACUGCUUUGGAAACUGCGCAGCUGGAGUGCAGGAGGGGUAAGUGGAAUUCCUAGUGUAGCGGUGAAAUGCGUAGAUAUUAGGAGGAACACCAGUGGCGAAGGCGGCUUACUGGACUGUAACUGACGUUGAGGCUCGAAGGCGUGGGGAGCAAACAGGAUUAGAUACCCGAGUAGUC